AUCUUAUUGGAUGAUGACGACCACGUGUCAUGUUCUGAUUGGUCAAUGAAAACAACAAUGCAUUUCAUUUUUCAUGGAAUUGACAUCCAAUCAGAACAUGACAUGUGACAGUCAACAUAA
rfam:Glycine soja cultivar W05 scaffold122_61, whole genome shotgun sequence.